AACGGGUGAGUAACACGUGAGCAACCUGCCCCUGACUCUGGGAUAAGCGCUGGAAACGGCGUCUAAUACUGGAUACGAGUAGCGACCGCAUGGUCAGUUACUGGAAAGAUUUAUUGGUUGGGGAUGGGCUCGCGGCCUAUCAGCUUGUUGGUGAGGUAAUGGCUCACCAAGGCGUCGACGGGUAGCCGGCCUGAGAGGGUGACCGGCCACACUGGGACUGAGACACGGCCCAGACUCCUACGGGAGGCAGCAGUGGGGAAUAUUGCACAAUGGGCGCAAGCCUGAUGCAGCAACGCCGCGUGAGGGAUGACGGCCUUCGGGUUGUAAACCUCUUUUAGCAGGGAAGAAGCGAAAGUGACGGUACCUGCAGAAAAAGCGCCGGCUAACUACGUGCCAGCAGCCGCGGUAAUACGUAGGGCGCAAGCGUUAUCCGGAAUUAUUGGGCGUAAAGAGCUCGUAGGCGGUUUGUCGCGUCUGCUGUGAAAUCCGGAGGCUCAACCUCCGGCCUGCAGUGGGUACGGGCAGACUAGAGUGCGGUAGGGGAGAUUGGAAUUCCUGGUGUAGCGGUGGAAUGCGCAGAUAUCAGGAGGAACACCGAUGGCGAAGGCAGAUCUCUGGGCCGUAACUGACGCUGAGGAGCGAAAGGGUGGGGAGCAAACAGGCUUAGAUACCCUGGUAGUCCACCCCGUAAACGUUGGGAACUAGUUGUGGGGUCCAUUCCACGGAUUCCGUGACGCAGCUAACGCAUUA
rnacentral:rRNA from 1 species